GGUUAAGUUAGAAAGGGCGCACGGUGAAUGCCUUGGCACUAGGAGCCGACGAAGGACGCGACGAACAGCGAUAUGCCUCGGGGAGUUGUAAGUAAACUUUGAUCCGGGGAUUUCCGAAUGGGGGAACCCACCAUCCGUAAUGGGNUGGUAUCCAUAUCUGAAUACAUAGGGUAUGAGAAGGCAGACCUGGGGAACUGAAACAUCUAAGUACCCAGAGGAAGAGAAAGAAAUAUUCGAUUACCUGAGUAGCGGCGAGCGAAACGGUAACAGCCCAAACCAAGGGGCUUGCCCCUUGGGGUUGUAGGACACUCUAUACGGAGUUACAAAGAAACGAAGUAGACGAAGCGAUCUGGAAAGGUCCGCGAAACAAGGUAACAGCCCUGUAAUCGAAACUUCGUUUCCUCCAGAGUGUAUCCUGAGUACGGCGGGACACGUGAAACCCCGUCGGAAUCCGGGAGGACCAUCUCCCAAGGCUAAAUACUUCCUAGUGACCGAUAGUGAACCAGUACCGUGAGGGAAAGGUGAAAAGCACCCCGGGAGGGGAGUGAAAGAGAUCCUGAAACCGUGUGCCUACAAGUAGUCAGAGCCCAUUNACGGGUGAUGGCGUGCCUUUUGUAGAAUGAACCGGCGAGUUACGAUUACGUGCAAGGUUAAGCUGAUGAGGCGGAGCCGCAGCGAAAGCGAGUCUGAAUAGGGCGAAUGAGUACGUGGUCGUAGACCCGAAACCGUGUGAUCUACCCAUGUCCAGGGUGAAGUUCAGGUAACACUGAAUGGAGGCCCGAACCCACGCACGUUGAAAAGUGCGGGGAUGAGGUGUGGGUAGGGGUGAAAUGCCAAUCGAACUCGGAGAUAGCUGGUUCUCCCCGAAAUAGCUUUAGGGCUAGCCUCGAGGGAAGAGUAUUGGAGGUAGAGCACUGAUUGGACUAGGGGUCCCCACAGGAUUACCGAAUUCAGUCAAACUCCGAAUGCCAAAUACUUAUCCUCGGGAGUCAGACUGCGAGUGCUAAGAUCCGUAGUCAAGAGGGAAACAGCCCAGACCAUCAGCUAAGGUCCCAAAGUAUACGUUAAGUGGAGAAGGAUGUGGAGUUGCCCAGACAACCAGGAUGUUGGCUUAGAAGCAGCCACCAUUUAAAGAGUGCGUAAUAGCUCACUGGUCGAGUGACUCUGCGCCGAAAAUGUACCGGGGCUAAACGUAUCACCGAAGCUAUGGAUUGNAUGCCAAAUACUUAUCCUCGGGAGUCAGACUGCGAGUGCUAAGAUCCGUAGUCAAGAGGGAAACAGCCCAGACCAUCAGCUAAGGUCCCAAAGUAUACGUUAAGUGGAGAAGGAUGUGGAGUUGCCCAGACAACCAGGAUGUUGGCUUAGAAGCAGCCACCAUUUAAAGAGUGCGUAAUAGCUCACUGGUCGAGUGACUCUGCGCCGAAAAUGUACCGGGGCUAAACGUAUCACCGAAGCUAUGGAUUGACACCUNAGGUGUCAGUGGUAGGGGAGCGUUCUAAGUGCUGUGAAGUCAGACCGGAAGGACUGGUGGAGCGCUUAGAAGUGAGAAUGCCGGUAUGAGUAGCGAAAAGAGGGGUGAGAAUCCCCUCCGUCGAAAGCCCAAGGUUUCCUGAGGAAGGCUCGUCCGCUCAGGGUAAGUCGGGACCUAAGCCGAGGCUGAAAAGCGUAGGCGAUGGACAACAGGUUGAAAUUCCUGUACCACCUCCUCACCGUUUGAGCAAUGGGGGGACGCAGAAAGGUAGGGUAAGCGCACUGAUGGAUAUGUGCGUCCAAGCAGUUAGGCUGAGAAGUAGGCAAAUCCGCUUCUCGUUAAGGCUGAGCUGUGAUGGCGAGCGAAAUUUAAGUAGCGAAGUUCCUGAUCCUACACUGCCAAGAAAAGCCUCUAGCGAGGUGAGAGGUGCCCGUACCGCAAACCGACACAGGUAGGCGAGAAGAGAAUUCUAAGACGCUCGGGAGAACUCUCGUUAAGGAACUCGGCAAAAUGACCCCGUAACUUCGGGAGAAGGGGUGCUCUGAUAGGGUGUUAAAGCCCGAGAGAGCCGCAGUGAAUAGAUCCAAGCGACUGUUUAGCAAAAACACAGGUCUCUGCGAAGCCGCAAGGCGAAGUAUAGGGGCUGACACCUGCCCGGUGCUGGAAGGUUAAGAGGAGGGGUUAUCCNUNNGGAGAAGCUCUGAAUUGAAGCCCCAGUAAACGGCGGCCGUAACUAUAACGGUCCUAAGGUAGCGAAAUUCCUUGUCGGGUAAGUUCCGACCCGCACGAAUGGUGUAACGAUUUGGAUACUGUCUCAACGAGAGACCCGGUGAAAUUAUAUUACCUGUGAAGAUGCAGGUUACCCGCGACAGGACGGAAAGACCCCAUGGAGCUUUACUGUAGCUUGAUAUUGGAUUUUGGUACAAUUUGUACAGGAUAGGUAGGAGCCUGAGAACCCGGAGCNCNAGCUUCGGUGGAGGNGUCGGUGGGAUACUACCCUGAUUGUAUUGAAAUUCUAACCUAGGACCGUGAUCCGGUUCGGGGACAGUGUCAGGUGGGCAGUUUGACUGGGGCGGUCGCCUCCUAAACAGUAACGGAGGCGCCCAAAGGUUCCCUCAGAAUGGUUGGAAAUCAUUCGUAGAGUGCAAAGGCAAAAGGGAGCUUGACUGCGAGACCUACAAGUCGAGCAGGGACGAAAGUCGGGCUUAGUGAUCCGGUGGUUCCGCAUGGAAGGGCCAUCGCUCAACGGAUAAAAGCUACCCUGGGGAUAACAGGCUUAUCUCCCCCAAGAGUCCACAUCGACGGGGAGGUUUGGCACCUCGAUGUCGGCUCAUCGCAUCCUGGGGCUGAAGUAGGUCCCAAGGGUUGGGCUGUUCGCCCAUUAAAGCGGUACGCGAGCUGGGUUCAGAACGUCGUGAGACAGUUCGGUCCCUAUCCGUCGCGGGCGUAGGAAAUUUGAGAGGAGCUGUCCUUAGUACGAGAGGACCGGGAUGGACAUACCGCUGGUGUACCAGUUGUUCCGCCAGGAGCAUAGCUGGGUAGCUACGUAUGGAAGGGAUAAGUGCUGAAAGCAUCUAAGCAUGAAGCCCCCCUNGGUGACGUGUGGAGCUGAGAGAUACUAAUCGGUCGAGGACUUAUCCUA
rfam:Anaerobacillus alkalilacustris strain DSM 18345 Ga0137925_101, whole genome shotgun sequence.